GAUGAACGCUGGCGGCGUGCUUAACACAUGCAAGUCGAACGAUGAAGCCCAGCUUGCUGGGUGGAUUAGUGGCGAACGGGUGAGUAACACGUGAGUAACCUGCCCUUAACUCUGGGAUAAGCCUGGGAAACUGGGUCUAAUACCGGAUAGGAGCGUCCACCGCAUGGUGGGUGUUGGAAAGAUUUAUCGGUUUUGGAUGGACUCGCGGCCUAUCAGCUUGUUGGUGAGGUAAUGGCUCACCAAGGCGACGACGGGUAGCCGGCCUGAGAGGGUGACCGGCCACACUGGGCCUGCGACACGGCCCAGACUCCUACGGGAGGCAGCAGUGGGGAAUAUUGCACAAUGGGCGCAAGCCUGAUGCAGCGACGCCGCGUUAGGGAUGACGGCCUUCGGGUUGUAAACCUCUUUCAGUAGGGAAGAAGCGAAAGUGACGGUACCUGCAGAAGAAGCACCGGCUAACUACGUG
rnacentral:rRNA from 1 species